AAGUUAAACCUAAUUAGAGGAACCUGUCCUAUAAACGACGAUCCACGUCCAACCUUACCUUUUCUAGUUAGUUCAAUUUGUAUACCGCUGUUUUCAGGAAACUUAGAUAAAUUACUCCUCAACAAAUAUUUAUUAAUCUUGAGUACUUACCAAUCCAAGUCAGGGUGCAGUUCACGAAAAGGAAGAGAUGGGUUACAAUUAGUGUUCCCUAAUGGGUACCCGCAUGAAAAAUGGUGGUAUAAAUUGGAUUUAAUAGUAAAAACCUUUGAAAACGAGGUUUUGAAUGAGUAAUAACUUAUGUACAAAC
rnacentral:rRNA from 1 species